GACGAACCGUGCGAACGUUGUUCGGAAUCACUGGGCUUAAAGGGCGCGUAGGCGGGUUGCCAAGUCCGGGGUGAAAGCCUCCAGCUUAACUGGAGAAGUGCCUUGGAUACUGGUGAUCUCGAGGGAGGUAGGGGCAUGUGGAACUUCCGGUGGAGCGGUGAAAUGCGUAGAUAUCGGAAGGAACGCCGGUGGCGAAAGCGACGUGCUGGACCUCUUCUGACGCUGAGGCGCGAAAGCGUGGGGAGCGAACAGG
rnacentral:rRNA from 1 species